AACGAACGCUGGCGGCAGGCUUAACACAUGCAAGUCGAGCGCCCCGCAAGGGGAGCGGCAGACGGGUGAGUAACGCGUGGGAAUCUACCUUUUGCUACGGAAUAACGCAGGGAAACUUGUGCUAAUGCCGUAUGUGUCCUUCGGGAGAAAGAUUUAUCGGCAAGAGAUGAGCCCGCGUCGGAUUAGCUAGUUGGUGGGGUAAAGGCCUACCAAGGCGACGAUCCAUAGCUGGUCUGAGAGGAUGAUCAGCCACAUUGGGACUGAGACACGGCCCAAACUCCUACGGGAGGCAGCAGUGGGGAAUAUUGGACAAUGGGCGCAAGCCUGAUCCAGCCAUGCCGCGUGAGUGAUGAAGGCCCUAGGGUUGUAAAGCUCUUUCACCGGAGAAGAUAAUGACGGUAUCCGGAGAAGAAGCCCUGGCUAACUUCGUGCCAGCCGCCGCGGUAA
rnacentral:rRNA from 2 species